rfam:Tropilaelaps mercedesae isolate Wuxi-XJTLT scaffold0000017513, whole genome shotgun sequence.
GCCAUCGGCCAUACCACGUUGAGUACGCCGGUUCUCGUCCGAUCACCGAAGCUAAACAACGUUGG